rnacentral:rRNA from 1 species
GGCGGACGGGUGAGUAACGCGUAGGGAUCUACCUUCUGGUGGGGGAUAGCCCGGAGAAAUCCGGAUUAAUACCGCAUAAGACCUAAGGGUGAAAAGGGGCCAAUUCUUGAAAGCUCUUGCCGGAAGAUGAACCUGCGUUAGAUUAGCUAGUUGGUGGGGUAAUGGCCUACCAAGGCGACGAUCUAUAGCUGGUCUGAGAGGAUGAUCAGCCACACUGGAACUGAGACACGGUCCAG